rnacentral:rRNA from 1 species
AACCCUCACCAGAGUAGCAAUUGGAGGGCAAGUCUGGUGCCAGCAGCCGCGGUAAUUCCAGCUCCAAUAGCGUAUAUUAAACUUGUUGCAGUUAAAAAGCUCGUAGUUGAAUUUUAGCGUGUUCGAGUUUGCCAUUCGUUUGGCUUUUUCGAGUUCGCUUUUGGGUUUUCCCUUUUUACUUUGAGAAAAUUAGAGUGUUUCAAGCAGACUUUUGUCUUGAAUACUUCAGCAUGGAAUAAUAGAGUAGGACUUUGGUUCUAUUUUGUUGGUUAUUGAACCUUAGUAAUGGUUAAUAGGAACGGUUGGGGGCAUUCGUAUUUAACUGUCAGAGGUGAAAUUCUUAGAUUUGUUAAAGACGAACUACUGCGAAAGCAUUUGCCAAGGACGUUUCCAUUAAUCAAGAACGAAAGUUAGGGGAUCGAAGACGAUCAG